rnacentral:rRNA from 1 species
CGCUAGCUACAGGCUUAACACAUGCAAGUCGAGGGGCAUCAGGAAGAAAGCUUGCUUUCUUUGCUGGCGACCGGCGCACGGGUGAGUAACACGUAUCCAACCUGCCCUUUACUCGGGGAUAGCCUUUCGAAAGAAAGAUUAAUACCCGAUAGCAUAAUGAUUCCGCAUGGUUUCAUUAUUAAAGGAUUCCGGUAAAGGAUGGGGAUGCGUUCCAUUAGGUUGUUGGUGAGGUAACGGCCCACCAAGCCUUCGAUGGAUAGGGGUUCUGAGAGGAAGGUCCCCCACAUUGGAACUGAGACACGGUCCAAACUCCUACGGGAGGCAGCAGUGAGGAAUAUUGGUCAAUGGGCGCUAGCCUGAACCAGCCAAAUAGCGUGAAGGAUGAAGGCUCUAUGGGUCGUAAACUUCUUUUAUAUAAGAAUAAAGUGCAGUAUGUAUACUGUUUUGUAUGUAUUAUAUGAAUAAGGAUCGGCUAACUCCGUGCCAGCAGCCGCGGUAAUACGGAGGAUCCGAGCGUUAUCCGGAUUUAUUAGGUUUAAAGGGAGCGUAGGUGGACUGGUAAGUCAGUUGUGAAAGUUUGCGGCUCAACCGUAAAAUUGCAGUUGAUACUGUCAGUCUUGAGUACAGUAGAGGUGGGCGGAAUUCGUGGUGUAGCGGUGAAAUGCUUAGAUAUCACGAAGAACUCCGAUUGCGAAGGCAGCUCACUGGACUGCAACUGACACUGAUGCUCGAAAGUGUGGGUAUCAAACAGGAUUAGAUACCCUGGUAGUCCACACAGUAAACGAUGAAUACUCGCUGUUUGCGAUAUACAGUAAGCGGCCAAGCGAAAGCAUUAAGUAUUCCACCUGGGGAGUACGCCGGCAACGGUGAAACUCAAAGGAAUUGACGGGGGCCCGCACAAGCGGAGGAACAUGUGGUUUAAUUCGAUGAUACGCGAGGAACCUUACCCGGGCUUAAAUUGCAGUGGAAUGAUGUGGAAACAUGUCAGUGAGCAAUCACCGCUGUGAAGGUGCUGCAUGGUUGUCGUCAGCUCGUGCCGUGAGGUGUCGGCUUAAGUGCCAUAACGAGCGCAACCCUUAUCUUUAGUUACUAACAGGUUAUGCUGAGGACUCUAGAGAGACUGCCGUCGUAAGAUGUGAGGAAGGUGGGGAUGACGUCAAAUCAGCACGGCCCUUACGUCCGGGGCUACACACGUGUUACAAUGGGGGGUACAGAAGGCAGCUAGCGGGUGACCGUAUGCUAAUCCCAAAAGCCUCUCUCAGUUCGGAUCGAAGUCUGCAACCCGACUUCGUGAAGCUGGAUUCGCUAGUAAUCGCGCAUCAGCCACGGCGCGGUGAAUACGUUCCCGGGCCUUGUACACACCGCCCGUCAAGCCAUGGGAGCCGGGGGUACCUGAAGUACGUAACCGCAAGGAUCGUCCUAGGGUAAAACUGGUGACUGGGGCUA